UACGGAGGGUGCGAGCGUUGUCCGGAAUCACUGGGCGUAAAGGGCGCGUAGGUGGCGGAGCAAGUCAACGGUGAAAGCUCGACGCUCAACGUCGAGUCGGCCGUCGAGACUGCUUUGCUCGAGCACUGUAGAGGCAGAUGGAAUUCCGGGUGUAGCGGUGGAAUGCGUAGAGAUCCGGAAGAACACCGGUGGCGAAGGCGGUCGCUGGG
rnacentral:rRNA from 1 species